rnacentral:rRNA from 1 species
CCUACGGGUGACUGCAGUGAGGAAUAUUGGUCAAUGGACGAGAGUCUGAACCAGCCAAGUAGCGUGAAGGAUGACUGCCCUAUGGGUUGUAAACUUCUUUUAUAUGGGAAUAAAAUGUUCCACGUGUGGGAUUUUGUAUGUACCAUAUGAAUAAGGAUCGGCUAACUCCGUGCCAGCAGCCGCGGUAAUACGGAGGAUCCGAGCGUUAUCCGGAUUUAUUGGGUUUAAAGGGAGCGUAGGUGGAGUGUUAAGUCAGUUGUGAAAGUUUGCGGCUCAACCGUAAAAUUGCAGUUGAAACUGGCAGUCUUGAGUACAGUAGAGGUGUGCGGAAUUCGUGGUGUAGCGGUGAAAUGCUUAGAUAUCACGAAGAACUCCGAUUGCGAAGGCAGUUCACUGGACUGCAACUGACACUGAGGCUCGAAAGUGUGGGUAUCAAACAGGAUUAGAUACCCUUGUAGUC